AACGAACGCUGGCGGCAGGCUUAACACAUGCAGGUCGAGCGCCCCGCAAGGGGAGCGGCAGACGGGUGAGUAACGCGUGGGAAUCUACCCAUCUCUACGGAAUAACGCAUGGAAACGUGUGCUAAUACCGUAUACGUCCUACGGGAGAAAGAUUUAUCGGAGAUGGAUGAGCCCGCGUUGGAUUAGCUAGUUGGUGGGGUAAAGGCCUACCAAGGCGACGAUCCAUAGCUGGUCUGAGAGGAUGAUCAGCCACACUGGGACUGAGACACGGCCCAGACUCCUACGGGAGGCAGCAGUGGGGAAUAUUGGACAAUGGGCGCAAGCCUGAUCCAGCCAUGCCGCGUGAGUGAUGAAGGCCCUAGGGUUGUAAAGCUCUUUCACCGGUGAAGAUAAUGACGGUAACCGGAGAAGAAGCCCCGGCUAACUUCGUGCCAGCCGCCGCGGUAAAAC
rnacentral:rRNA from 1 species